UACGUAGGGUGCAAGCGUUGUCCGGAAUUAUUGGGCGUAAAGAGCUCGUAGGCGGCUUGUCACGUCGACUGUGAAAACCCGGGGCUCAACUCCGGGCCUGCAGUCGAUACGGGCUGGCUUGAGUGCGGUAGGGGAGACUGGAAUUCCUGGUGUAGCGGUGAAAUGCGCAGAUAUCAGGAGGAACACCGGUGGCGAAGGCGGGUCUCUAGUACGGUACUGACGCUGAGACGCGAAAGCGUGGGGAGCGAACAGG
rnacentral:rRNA from 1 species